CAAUGUCUGUGACUGCCUCAUGAAUGUGGAUUUGGUUACGCCUCAUAGAUUUGCUAGACUUUGUGGACAUGGCAAGUCUUGGCUAUUCAUGAACUCAAGGAUGGAAACCCAAAGGGGAAGCUUCAGGGGAAGUCUCAAGACAGUGAAAACCACAGGUAACAAUGUGGCUGGGCUGAGAGUGACACUAUCUCGACACAGCAUCAAAAAUGUGGAUGUGAUGAAAAAUUACUUUCAUAUCUCUGAAAAUCUGUUGCAAGUUUCACUUUUUUUCUAAAAGCAGAGCUUCUCUAAAUUCUUCUCUUGCAUAAAGAGUUGAGGAAGCAAUAAAGGAACUGCUAUCCUAAGCUUAAUUUUGGUUAAGAAGUCAUCAGAAUUGCAUAGAUGAGGAGAACUUAAGGAAAACUAACUUGAUCACCAAGAUUUCUAAGAGCCAAACAAGUGAAUUGUGUACUUCCAGCUCCUGAAGGGUAAAUAAAAGUCAAGAGAAAAGAGACCUCUGGUCCCAUGGUCAGAACGGAUUUGACAAAAUUGAUUCCAUGACUAGGAAUACUGUGAACAUCCCAUAUUCAUGGAAUUUGCAUUAUAGCUGGGUUAGAGAGGAACAAAAAUCAAAUAUACAAAAGAGUAAGUAUACCAUAUCAUGUCAGAUAGUGAUAAGUAUUAAAAAAUAGAGGAAGCUAUUUGGAGAAAUGGCUGAUUCUAGGACUAGGGCAGGAAAUAUACAAGAUAAGUUCAAAUCAUCUUGUAGUGCCAGAAAAUAAGAAAAUCCUAACAACAAUAACCAAAAAAAAUCUGCAUUAGUGGGAUUAUGUAAAAGGGACCCAGAAGCAAACUGAUAUGGCUCCUAAUGACGAAACCUGGAGCAAUUUAAACAUCAAAAUAAAGUAGUAUUGGAGUAGUACAGAGUAUAGAAUAGAUAACAAUCAUUCAAUAUAGAUAGACAUAAAAUAUUGAAUAAAUAAAUGGGCAAGAUUAGAGAAAUCUGCCAUAUCGAAGAAUUUCAAAUAAUUCAUGUAGAUAAUCCCUCUCAAAAAGAUGGAGCAUAAGUCCCUUGCCCUUUAAGUGUGGGCUAUGCAUAGUGACUGCUGUCUAAAAAGCACAGAAUAGAAAUGAUCUGGGAAGAGAAUAACUUGAAUAAUUUUACAGCAGAGAAACGUAAUAAAGGCUAUCUCGGUCAGACAUUGAGGUCAACAUCAACUGUGAUAGGUCAUGUUGAUGUCAUUGCACCCUGGGUCUAUGUGGUGAGAAGGGCACUUUUCCUCUGUGACCUUCCUCACUAAAGGACACAACUUCAGUCUAACCAUGAGAAGAUAUCUGGUAACUACCAAUAUAGAAACAUUCUAGAAAAUACCUGACUGUCAAGGUCAUCAAAAACAAGGAAAGUCUGAAAAACUGACUGCUAAGAGAUGUUUAAGGAAACCCGACAAUUACAUGGAAUGUGGUAACUUCUGGAAUCCCGGAGCAGAAAAAGGACAAAAGGUACAAACUACGGAAAUCUGAAAAGAGGUGGACUUUAGAAACAACGUAUGAAUAUUGGUUCAUUAAUUUUAACAAAUGUGUCAUCCCAAAAUAAGAUGUCACUAUUUGGAGGAACUGGGUAGGGUAUAUGGGAACUCCAUAUUAUAUUUGCAAUUUUGUGAAUCUAAAGCUAUUUUUUAAUUAAUUUUUAUCUAAAAUAUAAAUAUAAGACAGGUGUGGUAGGCUGGCCUUAGCAAUUUAGUGAGCCCCUAAAUGGCUUAGUGAAACCCUGUCUCAAAAAAAAAAAAAAAAGGAUUGGGGAUGUGGCUCAGUGGUAAAGUGCCCCUGGUUUCAAUCUCCAGUCCCAAAAAGAAAAAGAGAGAGGGGGGGGGGGCGGAGAAAGGAA
rnacentral:lncRNA from 1 species